AGGAUGAACGCUGGCGGUAUGCUUAACACAUGCAAGUCGAACGGAACCUUCGGGUUUAGUGGCGGACGGGUGAGUAACGCGUGAGAAUCUGCCUCUAGGUCGGGGACAACAAUUGGAAACGAUUGCUAAUACCCGAUGUGCAGCAAUGUGAAAGAUUUAUUGCCUAGAGAUGAGCUCGCGUCUGAUUAGCUAGUAGGUGUGGUAAUGGCGCACCUAGGCGACGAUCAGUAACUGGUCUGAGAGGAUGACCAGUCACACUGGGACUGAGACACGGCCCAGACUCCUACGGGAGGCAGCAGUGGGGAAUUUUCCGCAAUGGGCGAAAGCCUGACGGAGCAAUACCGCGUGAGGGACGAAGGCUUUUGGGUCGUAAACCUCUUUUCCCUGAGAAGAAGAUCUGACGGUAUCAGGGAAUCAGCAUCGGCUAACUUCGUGCCAGCAGCCGC
rnacentral:rRNA from 1 species